GAUGAACGCUGGCGGCGUGCCUAAUACAUGCAAGUCGAGCGAACAGACGAGGGGCUUGCUCCUCUGAGGUUAGCGGCUGACGGGUGAGUAACACGUGGAUAACCUACCUAUAAUACUGGGAGAACUUCGGGAAACCAGAGCUAAUACUAGAGAAUAUAUUCAACCGGAUAGAUCAAUAGUGAAAGACAGUUUUGCUGUCACUUAUAGAUGGAUCCGCGCCGCAUUAGCUAGUUGGUAAGGUAACGGCUUACCAAGGCAACGAUGCGUAGCCGACCUGAGAGGGUGAUCGGCCCAACUGGAACUGAGACACGGUCCAGACUCCUAAGGGAAGCAGCAGUAGGGAAUCUUCCGAAAUGGGCGAAAGCCUUAAGGCGCAACGCCGCGUGAGUGAUGAAGGUCUUCGGAUCUUAAAACUCUGUUAUUAGGGAAGAACAAAUGUGUAAGUAACUAUGCACGUCUUGACGGUACCUAAUCAGAUAGGCACCGCUAACUACGUG
rnacentral:rRNA from 1 species